rnacentral:rRNA from 1 species
UGGUGGAGUGAUUUGUCUGGUUAAUUCCGUUAACGAACGAGACCUUAGCCUGCUAAAUAGUUGCAGGAAACCUUGGUUUCUGACAACUUCUUAGAGGGACUUCGUGUGAUUAACACGAGGAAGUUUGAGGCAAUAACA